UACGUAGGGGGCAAGCGUUGUUCGGAAUUACUGGGCGUAAAGGGCGCGUAGGCGGCCUGCUAAGUCGGACGUGAAAUCCCCCGGCUCAACCGGGGAACUGCGUCCGAUACUGGUGGGCUCGAAUCCGGGAGAGGGAUGUGGAAUUCCAGGUGUAGCGGUGAAAUGCGCAGAUAUCGGGAAGAACACCCGUGGCGAAGGCGGUUCUCUGGGACGGUACUGACGCUGAGACGCGAAAGCGUGGGGAGCGAACAGG
rnacentral:rRNA from 1 species